AGUUUGCCAUGCUGUGGCCUCUGUCAUAAAGACAAGCUUUUCUGCCUGAGAAGCUUCCUUGAUAGCUGACCACCCACAGCUCUUGUCCGAACCUCGCAAACCAGUCACGUGACUGCUCCAGCAAAUUGGCUGCAGCUCCCCAGCUGAGAGCGAAAUGCCUUGAAAAUUAGCUGCUUCUCAGGAUGCAGAAGAAAACUCAACUCUAUUAUUGGAGCAUAACAUUAGAAAGAGAAAUAACAGAUCGUGGUCCCUGACACAGACAGGAGUUCAUCCACCAGGUUCACGCCAUCUUUCUGGAGGACAGCGGAUGUUUUGUUAAAUGUGACUCGCCAAAAGACCUUGACA